CCUACGGGAGGCAGCAGUGGGGCAUAUUGGGCAAUGGGCGCAAGCCUGACCCAGCAACGCCGCGUGAAGGAAGAAUGCUUUCGGGUUGUAAACCUCUUUUCUCAGGGACGAAGAAAGUGACGGUACCUGAGGAAUAAGCCACGGUUAACUACGUGCCAGCAGCCGCGGGAAUACGUAGGUGGCAAGCGUUAUCCGGAUUUACUGGGUGUAAAGGGCGUGUAGGCGGGGAAGGAAGUCAGAUGUGAAAACCACGGGCUCAACCUGUGGCCUGCAUUUGAAACUGUUUUUCUUGAGUACUGGAGAGGCAGACGGAAUUCCUGGUGUAGCGGUGAAAUGCGUAGAUAUUAGGAGGAACACCAGUGGCGAAGGCGGUCUGCUGGACAGCAACUGACGCUGAGGCGCGAAAGCGUGGGGAGCAAACAGGAUUAGAUACCCUGGUAGUC
rnacentral:rRNA from 1 species